rnacentral:rRNA from 1 species
CAGGAACCUUUGUAUCCUGAGGGACACCCUAGAAGAGGUGAGCAAGAUUCUCAGAGAAUUAAUACUGAUGCACCUAGUCCUACUAAGAAAAAUAAAAAGAAUACUGGUAGGACUUUGCAUGCUUCUAGUGAACCUGUUAUGCACACACCUGAGAAUCCUAAUGAUAUUUCUAUUUCUGAUGCUGAAACACAAUCUGGUGAUGAACAUGAACCUGGUAAUAAUGUUAAUAAUGAUGUUCAUGUUGAUGCUCAACCUAGCAAUGACAAUGAUGUAGAGAUUGAACCUAUUGUUGAUCUUGAU